UCAAGUCAAGGGGAGGGAUGGUCAUCCAAGGUAAGUCCGUCCAUAGGACGGCGCCAUCCCUGUCCCGCUCUCAGUUGGGCUUGGCCUUCGGGUGGAGGA
rnacentral:ncRNA from 1 species